rnacentral:rRNA from 1 species
GACGAACGCUGGCGGCGUGCCUAAUACAUGCAAGUAGAACGCACAGUUUAUACCGUAGCUUGCUACACCAUAGACUGUGAGUUGCGAACGGGUGAGUAACGCGUAGGUAACCUGCCUGGUAGCGGGGGAUAACUAUUGGAAACGAUAGCUAAUACCGCAUAAUAUUAAUUAUUGCAUGAUAAUUAAUUGAAAGGUGCAAUUGCACCACUACCAGAUGGACCUGCGUUGUAUUAGCUAGUAGGUGAGGUAACGGCUCACCUAGGCGACGAUACAUAGCCGACCUGAGAGGGUGAUAGGCCACACUGGGACUGAGACACGGCCCAGACUCCUACGGGAGGCAGCAGUAGGGAAUCUUCGGCAAUGGACGAAAGUCUGACCGAGCAACGCCGCGUGAGUGAAGAAGGUUUUCGGAUCGUAAAGCUCUGUUGUAAGAGAAGAACGGGUGUGAGAGUGGAAAGUUCACACUGUGACGGUAUCUUACCAGAAGGGGACGGCUAACUACGUG